GACGAACGCUGGCGGCGUGCUUAACACAUGCAAGUCGAACGGAAAGGCCCUGCUUUUGUGGGGUGCUCGAGUGGCGAACGGGUGAGUAACACGUGAGUAACCUGCCCUUGACUUUGGGAUAACUUCAGGAAACUGGGGCUAAUACCGGAUAGGAGCUCCUGCUGCAUGGUGGGGGUUGGAAAGUUUCGGCGGUUGGGGAUGGACUCGCGGCUUAUCAGCUUGUUGGUGGGGUGGUGGCUUACCAAGGCUUUGACGGGUAGCCGGCCUGAGAGGGUGACCGGCGACAUUGGGACUGAGAUACGGCCCAGACUCCUACGGGAGGCAGCAGUGGGGAAUAUUGCACAAUGGGCGGAAGCCUGAUGCAGCAACGCCGCGUGCGGGAUGACGGCCUUCGGGUUGUAAACCGCUUUCGCCUGUGACGAAGCGUGAGUGACGGUAAUGGGUAAAGAAGCACCGGCUAACUACGUG
rnacentral:rRNA from 1 species